rnacentral:lncRNA from 1 species
AAAAAAAAUUGAAACAAAUUUUGUAAAAUAAAAGUUAUAGGAAGUUAUAGAAAAAAAAAGAAAAAAAAAAAAGGUUUAAAUUCAUAAAAAAAAAAAAAAAGGAUUUACAACGGGUAGUGGCGCUAGCCGUUGGAAGUUUGAAUUCAAAAUGUUAUUUCUGUCGGUUGUAACCGACAGAAAUAAGAAACAUUAAAAAAAAAAUAGCCAGCCCGGGGCUGGCUAGCUGGCCGAAAGCAGCCAGCCCUCCAGCCCUCCAGCCCUCUUCGAUCUCGUGGGGCCCUCCCAGAUUCUCGAGCCCUCUGGCCUAGCCCUCGGUUGAAGACGGUUUUAGGGCUAUUUUCGGCCCUCUGGCCCUCUGGACCCUUCGGUUGGAGAUGACCUAAAGUAUUUUAGAAGCUGUGGGCUCCUUUUUAAGAGAUAAUCAUGGUUUUUCCUUUUUCAUUCAAAAUAUUUAUCCAGUCAUUUAAAAAAAAAUUCGUACAAAAGAUUCUUUUUCUCCUAAAAUUCAAAUAUAAUCUUAUAAUCAAGAUAACGAAAAUGGUGGAUGUUUAUAUUUUUUAAAUUAUUAUGCAUACAUUUUAUUGAGAGAAUUAUUUGUAUACAUUAUUGAUAUGUUUACGAUUAGAAUUCCUAGAUUUCUGAUUAUAUUCAAUAUGAAUCACAGAUACGUUUAUUAUUAAUUUUCAUACUAUGAUUUUAUUUCAUAUUAUGGAUUGGUACGCUUGUUUUUAGUUUUUGGUAUAUUAAUUUUUGUACAUAUUGUUGAUUAGUACGUUUAACUAGAUACGUUUGAUUUUAGUUUUAGGUACAUUUAGUUUUUUUUUUUUGAACAUAUUAUUAAUUGAUAACUUUUUUAAACACAUUCAAUAUUAUCUACACUAAAAGAUGGGGGAGUGUUAGGCCUUAUAUAGAGUUAGCCAUAAUAAUUUUGUUCGAAUUUGCUUUUAGCAAGGCUUGAAUCUAAGACCUUACUUACAAGUGAGACGAAAUAACACUAAACAGUAGUAUUAAGUGGCAUCAUUAAUUGUUUGAUAACUUAAUAAUUUAAUUUGGAUUAAUACUAAUAAUAAUUUUGGUAUAAAUAAGACUAGAUUUAGGAGCUUUGGAUAUUAUUUUUGUAUCUUAGAAAGAAGACAGUUUUAAAAUGUGGCACAAAAAUUGUAGAAAGUACUUUAGUAAAAAGUUUAGAAGCUAGGGAUGUGUUUGGUCUAACAAAUUUAAAAAUUAAGCACCUAAAUCAAAAUUCCCUUUUUAUAAAUCAUAUGAUGUGAUUUUUUAUGAUUAAAUUUUUACUGGUGACACAUCUCAUGACUUACAAAUUUGACAUAAAAAAAUAAUGUUACUAAAAUGAAAUUUAAUAAUGUUACUAAAAUGAAAAUUUUGGCAUUGAAAGUUACAUAUACAUUACUCCAAGUCCAAGCAUCGAAAAAAUAAGGUUAUUUGUGGUUUAACUGAUAUUGGGCAUCUCUCUCCUAUAUAUCGCAAAUUGAUUUUAGGUUGAAAUCUGUGUAUCAAAUUGAUAUAUACUAGUUUAGUCGACUUGUAUAUGUAUAUAAUUGCACCAAUGAGAAACAUCAUAUUGUGCAGAAGUGCUAAAUGUGAAACCAAUAAAUUAAUACGGAAAAAGAGGACAAAAACGAACAAUUCAAAAUGACAUGAAGAUUUGUACUUGUUCGGCUUAAGCCUAUAUCCAGUCGGAGAAGGAGAGAAAACUUCACUAUUAAUCAAAAUGAAGAUUACAAAUAUAGUUUUAGCUCUCAAAUUCCAAAUCCCACAUACACCUAAUAACUUUCACUCAAACAAAAAACAAUUGGAGAAUAAGAAAGUACAUACCAAAUCUUUUCUCCUAAAAGCCACAAAAUACCACCAAUAUCUUUGAAUGAGUAAUUGUCCAAAACCACAAGAACAACAGCUUUCUUUCUCCUCUAAAGGUGUCGGCUGGACUCAAUCUCCCUCAACAACCGAAACAACAAGGGAACUUUAACGAAAAGCACCCGGUACUGUUCAUUUUAACGAAAAACCACAUUUUUACACUAAAAAAUCAAUCUUGGUACUAUUCAUUUUACCCUUUAUUUUGUUCUUAUCAUUAAAACUCAAAGUUUUCAAGUCAUUUUCAUUAGUUUUCCUAAACAAAAUAAAGCAUCACAUGCCUUAUAUACUAGCUGCUGCAAAUACCCAAGCCACUCACGUGGCAAGCACAUGGUCCAAACAAAAGGAACUAAACAGAUGGGCCGAUCGGAAUAGAGCCACAAAUUCAAUUCAACAGACUAUAGUGUCUUUCUUCCAAAUCUUCCCUGGUUCUAUUUUUUUUUCACAAAUCCUAGACCAUAAUUUCUUAAACCUUUAUUGGAAGUCUAAGAAGUCGGGCUAUAUUAUCACCCUCCAUGUCGUACAUGUUUACUAAUUGAGUGAAGGUGAUAGCUUCUAGUAAUCCUUCAUUGAGUUAAUGCUGACUAAUUGAAUUUUCAGGCAUGAAGCAAAGCUUAUUAGGAGAAUUGUUGAGAAGAAUAUUAGGGAAUUGCUUCCUAGCACAAAUGAAUUGCACGUGGCCAAAUACCCGGUUGGAAUCGACUCUCGUGUUCAACCGAUUAUCAAAGAUCUUUCAAGUGGUGGAUUAGAUGACGUUAAAAUGGUUGGAAUUUGGGGGAUGGGUGGAUUGGGCAAAACAACUGUUGCCAAAGCCAUUUAUAACAAAAUUCAUCAUAGCUUCCAAUUCAAAUUCUUCCUUGAAGAUGUUUGCCACCAUGGUACAAGCCAACAUGGUCUGCUCUGUUUGCAACAAAAAUUUAUUUCUGACAUCUUACAACAUGCCAACCCUCAAAUUAUUAGUAGCGUUGCUGCAGGGAUCACUGUUAUAAGACAACACCUCCAACGUAGAAGGGUACUUGUCAUUGUUGACAAUGUAGAUAAAGUGGAGCAACUAAAUGCAAUAGCUGGAAAUCGUGAAUGGUUUGGUCCAGGAAGUAUACUUAUCAUAACAACAAGAGAUGAGCAUAUACUAAAUCAACUGAGAGUGAAAAUGAGAUAUCCAGCUUGGGGAAUGAAUGAAGAAAAAGCUCUUGAGCUUUUCAGUUGGCAUACAUUUGAAGAAGAAGCUCCUGAUGAAGAAUAUCUUGAAUUGUCAAAGAAGGUAGUUUCUUAUUGUGGGGGUCUGCCGUUAGCACUCCAAGUUUUAGGCUCUUCUCUUAUUGGCAGACCAAUAAUAGAGUGGGAAAGCUAUCUGGAGAAAUUGGAAAGAAUACCUGAAGAAGACAUUAUUAAAAAACUAAGAAUAAGCUUUGAUGGGCUAGGUGAUAUUGAGAAGGCUAUAUUCCUUGAUAUAUGUUUCUUUCUUGAAAUCGGCCUGGGUUAUGUGAACAAGGAUUAUGUCACAAAAAUAUUAGAUGGAUGUCGGUUAUCUCCAAUAAUAGGAAUCAGUGUUCUCCGUGAACGAUGCCUUAUAACUGUUGAAUGAGAUAUGCUGAAGAUGCAUGAUUUGAUUCGAGAAAUGGGCAAGACAAUCAUUUCUGAAAAAUCUCCUACUGAACCUGGAAGAUGGAGUAGACUGUGGAACCCUGAAGAUGUAAUAGACGUGUUGUCAAAUAAAUCUGUAAGUAGUUUCUCAAUAAAGUUUAAUAUUAGUGCUCGCUAAAUCAUAUCCUAAUGCAACUGCUUACAUUUUAUAAUAUUUAGAAAUAUAUUUACAAGUACAAUAAACCUUCACGUGGAAAUAGAAGCAAUUAAAUCGAUUUCCAACCGAUUAUAUGACAAUUGUUUGUAAGUAAAUCAUUUUUUAGACCCAAAUUACCCUUUUAUUAUUCAUCAUAUGUCCUUUUGUUUACCUAACAGGGAACUGAAGAAAUUGAAGCACUUUCUCUAGAUUUGCCAAGCUCUAAAAAAAAGGCUAGGUUCAGGACAAAAGCAUUUGUCAAUAUGAAAAAACUGAGAUUGCUAAGGCUCAACUAUGUAAAGCUCACAGGAAGCUUCAAACAUUUUCCGAAAGAGUUGAGAUGGUUGUGCUGGCAGGGAUUCCCUUUCAAGGACAUUCCCAAGCACCUUUUUAAUCAGCCUAAACUUGUUGCUCUUGACCUGCAGUUCAGCAAACUCAGAAAAUGGACGAAUUCCAAGGUACAAUCACCCCUAGCAGGUUAUAAUUAAUUCCCACUCUGAUUUUAUUUUUAAGCCAUAUUCUUCUUGGAUUUUGAAUGAUAUUUUCUUUUGGGUUUCUGCAGCGGCUCGAAAAUUUGAAAAUCCUUGAUCUCGCUGGUUCCCGUGAGUUAAAAGAGUCACCAGACUUUUCAAGGAUCCCAAAUCUCGGAAAAUUGAAAUUUGUAGGCUGUUCGAGUUUGUCCAAGAUUCACCCAUCCAUCUGUCAACUUAAAAAACUCGCUUGGGUAAAUUUUCAAUUAUGCCAUAAGCUUAGGUAUCUUCCAACGGAAUUCUGUAAGUUGAAAUCUGUUGAGAUUCUUUUAUUGGAUAUCAGUUCAUUAAGAGAACUGCCCGAGGGCUUAGGGGAGAUGGUAUCAUUGAGACAUCUUGAUGCAACGUAUACAGCCAUAAAACAAUUCCCCAACGACCUUGGCCAUCUAAUUUCUUUGCAAGGGUUGAGUAUUGGAGUCACUGGUCGUAGCCUACCUAGCCUCAGUGGUCUUUCAAAUCUUGUAAAAUUGAGCAUACAUGGGUGCAAGAAUCUUCGUGCAAUCCCUGAUUUACCAACAAAUUUGGAAGUCUUGGGCGUAUAUUUUUGCCCUGCAUUGGAAACAAUGCCAGACUUUUUGCACAUGUCAAACAUGAGAAACCUGACUCUAUUGGAUUCGCCCAAAAUCACAGAGGUUCCAAGUUUAGGCUUCGGUGAAUCAUUAAACUCCAUGACAGAGCUUCAUAUGGAAGGAUGCACCAAUCUCACAACUGAGUUUAGAAAAAAAAUCCUACAGGUCUCUCUCGUUGUCUCAGACUCUUGUCUUUCUCUAUCACACACACACAAACACAAACGAACAUGUACAAGUAUUUGACACUACUAUAUUACGUUGUAUAUAUAUUAUAGGGAUGGACUUCUUGCGGAAAUGGUGGCAUUUUUCUUAAUAAGAUCGAUGAUAUUCCAGAUUGGUUCGAAAUUGUCGCAGACGGCAAUAGAGUCAGUUUUGAUGUUCCUCAGUGUGAUGAUCGUAAUUUUAAAGUGUUGACUCUCUGCUUCCUUCACUCGAAAAUCGGAGAAAAUUAUUGUCAUCCUGUCAUUACUGUUGUAAAUUGUACCAAGCAUACUACUUUGAAGGCCACUCUGGGCCUCUGUCGUGUGCAAAGGGGGUUUUUUUGGCAGGGACAAUUAUCGAACGAUAAGCUCAGUUUGCAAGGUGGGGACAAGAUUGUUAUUCUUAUAGAGGGUAUUGGAGUGAAGAAAACAGGGGUAAAUCUAGUAUGGAACAAACCUUUGAAGGAAAAUAUGCAUGGUAUGGAUGAUGGGGUGUAUAGAUAUGAAUCUGAACCACAUCCAGAUUGAUUGUAUGAUGAGUCAAGUGCAGGACCAAGCCAUGACGCAUCUGAUCAUCAUCCCACUAAUCAAAUGACGACUACUACAGAUGAACCCAAACGGAAAAGGCAAAGGGUUUGAAGAGAGAGCAUUGCCAGAUCGGUUGAAUAGUUGCUAUUCCUGCAUUAUACUCUCCCGCAGACCACGUCAGCGUCUUUCUCAUUUUCCCAGCUCCAUUAGUCGGACAUUUGAUUACGAUUUGUUCCUCGUUUUACAGACAUUUCAUUUGCAAUAUUGACUAGUUGUUCACUUGUUAAUUGUUCUAUGCUUUACAAAUAUUCAUAUUCUCUUGUGGAACCAAAUUAUUAGCAUCAUACUUCGACUUUUUUGGUUCUAAACCAAAAUUUUAGAUUGAAAUGUGCAGUUACUGACGAUGGAUGUAAACAUAUAGAAAUCAGGACUAUAAUCUCACUUGGAAUCCUUUCUAUCAGCUCCUCUGCUUCUUCUAACAGUCCAACAUGGCCAAUAAGGUCGAUCUGGCAACCAUAGUGCUAUAACUUCGGUGCAAUCUCUCAUAUAUCUUUCUCAUGGAGUUGAAGAACUCACGACCCUCAUCUACCAACCCUCUGUGAACACAAGCACUUAAGACAACAAUGAAGGUGAAAUCAUCAGGCUUCAUGUCAAUCUGUACCAUUUUCAAGAAGAACUCGAUUGCUUUGCUUGUCUUGCCAUUCCUUGCAAGCCCACAAAUGAUUGAAGUCCAAAGACUUGUCCGUGCUCCCACAUUUUGCAUACAUUUCUAUAACCACGGUACCAACAACUGCAUCAGUUUUAAUUCUGUUAUAUUCGAUAUACCUGCGAAUCCAUUCCUCUUGCUCUAAUGCUCCCAACCGAGCACAGCCUGUGAAGAGCAACCGCUGUAAAUUUAUCCCCUAACAUUUUAGUUUGCAUCUCUUGGAAUAGAGCCGCCCGCCUCGUUAAAAUGGUAGUAUAAUUGAAUUGUACAUACAUACCCAUAAAACACUUCUCUUGCCUCACCAAACCUACACAAUUUACAGAGCCAGAUACCACACAAGUACAACAGAACAUGUUUUUCACCGGCAUUUCAUAAAAAAUUCUCCGGCCUUCAUUCAAACAACCACAUUUAUGCAUUUCCAGUUCUAGCAGUGAAUCCAAGUUCACUUCUAACAUAUUCAUGAUUUUUUUUACCAACCCCCAAAUUUUUCAGCGCUGUGCAAGCCGAAAUGGUGCUUACAGCCGUAGCUUCAUCAGGCUUCUCGUUGCUCUCACAUCGCAUCCCCCGAAACACAUCCAAAGCCUCCUCAAACCUCCUGCACCUAAGAUACCUCGAGAUCGUAAUGUUCCAACAAAGCAUGUUUCUCUCAGACAUUUCAUCAAACACCUGCUUGAAACUCUCAACCAUGUCAAUGAGCGAGUCACACACACACACAUCAAACCCAUGAACCUUCACCUUCCCGAACCUCUCCCAAGCAUCCAAAGGCUUUGAAAACAAAUGGUUGCUUCCGGCAUUGGAAAACUCGAUGUGGGCAAGUCCUUUCUCUACUUCAAGGGUCCACUACAUCAUCUAAUUAAACAAAUACACAAUCACAUGGAUCAUGUAACUGUUGCACUUGAUAAGUGUUUGUAUCCUAAAAACCACUAUGUCAAAAAAAAAAAAAAAAUAAUAAUAAUAAUAAUAAUAAUAAAGAAAAAUUAACAAAAGUAAAAAAAAACUUUAAUUUUAAUGAAAAAUAACCAAUAAAGAUGUAGUGAAUAUUAUAAAAAAAAAAAGUAAAAAUGAACAACCGAACAUAUAUUAUUAAAACUCUUAAUAAUAAUUUGUUGAGUGCCCUAACUUUGAAACUUUUAACAAAUUAAUAAGAAGUACAAAAUGCGUUGACCAAAAAAUAAGAACAUGGAACAUAGGCUACUUGGCUAAACAUUUAAUAAAAAAUUAGGAUGUGGCCUCACGCCAUCUCCAACUGAAAGGUUCAGAAAGUUAAAAAUAGCCCGAAAAUUAUCUCCAACAGAGAGUUAGGCUAGAGGGCUGGCUGCAUGCAGCCAACCCGGGGAUGGCCAAAAAAUAGGGUAAUCCUGUCGGUUAGAUCUAACAUGAUUGCUUAAAAAAAAAUUGGAAUACAACGACUAGCUGACUAGCCGUUGUAUUCAAUUUUUUUUUUUUUUGGUUUUUUGGGCCGUUUUUUUAAUUUUUAAAAAUUCUAAUUUUUUUUUCUGGGCCAGUUACCGUUGUAGUUUUUAAAUUUAAGUUGUUGUAGUUUUUAAAUUUAAAUAAAUUAUGCUUGAUCUUAUGACACUUUGGCCCUCGGUUGGAGACGAUUUUUUGUGACAAGGUUAAAACGAGUCCUAUAACCAUUUGACACUCAGUCAGAGACAGAUGCAAAUAUGGCCAUGUAUUGUUUAUUAAAAUAUUAAUAUCUUGAAGAAUUAGAUGGCUAAAACGAGUUAUCUGGCCAGCCCUCAGUUAGAGAUGGCCCCACGUUUCUUUUUUUUGGCUCCUUUUCCAUUCUUUAUUCUUUAUUUUUUUUGUCGUAAUUAUUUUCCAAAACAUAAAAAAUAGAAAAUUAUUUUUAUCGGUAAAAGAAUGAGAAAUUUUUUUAUCUGACGACAUGUUUUGUUUUUCUUUUAAUUUUGUUAAUUUUUGGUGGGAUAUGAUAUGCACAAUUACAUCACUAAUCAAUAAAAUUACUCAAAAUCUGCAAAGAUCAACAAAUCAGAGCAGACUUUAAAUAAAUCUUACCCGAUUAAAUAACCAAAAAGUCUUCAAAACGCCGCGUUCUCCCUCCCGUAUGAACCAAAUCUCAACGCCGUAGAAAUUUCAAUGCUAUUCCUCCACAGCACCAUUAUCUCUGUACUGCAACGCUCUAGAAAUUUCACUUCGCUCCUCUGAGCUCGCCGGAGUUCCCUCCUAGAUCUCGGCCUCCGCCGCAACCCCUUCAUCCUCUUCGUUCCGCUUCAAGGAUCGGAGCUUUUCUACAUGUCGGUGAUGUACAAUUCUUCCAUAACUCUACAUUUCAAUCGAUUCAGUUGAUGUUUAAUGCAUUAAUUUCAAACGCAAAUAGUAGAUCGGCAUAAUCUUCAAAACCCAUAUCUCAGAUUUCUCUAUGAAGUGUUCACGUCUUCGAUUUCAUUCACUUGCCUCUGUUAGUGUAGCCUUUCGCUGUACAUAUAGCUCUUGAAAUUUUGAAGAUCUGCUAUCUUUCUUUUGCUCUGAAUUCGAAUUGGGUAUUUUAGUGAGUGACGGUGUCUUUAAUAGAAAUAUGACUCAUGCAUUGGUAAAUAUUAUAUUUAUUAAAAUAAGGAUGCAAUUGUAAAAUAAAUGCAACAUCAGUUCAAAUUUGAUUUCUUUAACAUUUUUUUUUUUUUUUAUGUAAUCUCAAUCGAAGUGCAUCUAUCCAGACACUUUCUCAGAGGAUUUUCGGUCCGCGGUGCCGACGCGUGGAUAUUCCCUAGAAGGGUGUGACCGCUUGCUGUCAAGUCCCAUCAUUUCGUGUACUUUUACUUUGUCGAACGCGGUUUCAUCUUAAAGCUGUUUUUUUUCCAAUCUUUUCCAAAAUUUCAAUCUUAACCGUCCAGUGAUAAGAUCGUGUGGCCACGAACGUCGUGGUUUUCCCCUGGAAACGUCCUUGGUUUUCUUCAAUACUUGGGCCGGAUGCUUCCUGGAAGAGCCGAAGAUUAGGCGGAACGCUUCCUGGAAUGAGCCAAAAGUUGUCCCUUAAGUAUUAUGUGUACUCUUGUGCUGCCAUAUUUUUCGCUCAAUUGGAACUACUCUAGCGCCGUAAACAGUAACACCACACCAUGACAUCCCAUGAACCCUCCUCGUCAAAGCUCUGGAAUUACGACGUGUUCUUGAGUUUUAGAGGCGAAGAUACACGCAAUGGCUUCACGGGCCACCUUCACGCGGCAUUACAAGACAGGGGCUUCGAUGCCUUUAUUGAUGAGGACAAUCUAAAACGAGGGGGAUAAAUAAAACCCAAACUGUUGCGGGCAAUCGAAGAGUCCAGAAUCUCGGUCAUUGUCUUCUCAAAGUGUUACGCGGAAUCAAGAUGGUGUCUUGACGAGCUGGUGAAGAUCAUGGAAUGUAGAGAAAAGCUGGGGCAACAGGUUUUGCCAAUAUUCUAUGAUGUCGAUCCUUCACAUGUGAGGAAGCAGGAAGGUUGUUUAGCCCGAGCAUUUCAGAAGCACGAAGAUGGCAUCCUUGAAGAAAAAGAUGACAAAGAACGUGAAGCUAAGAAAGAAAGGGUAAAGCAGUGGAGAGAGGCUCUUACUCAAGCUGCAGAUUUGUCUGGCCACCAUCUUAAUAAGGGGUAACCAUUUUCAUUGGACUUGGACGUCUUUCAAUACUCGACUAGUUUAAUAGUAAUGCUGCUAUCUAUUUUCGUCUUUUCCACAUUUUGAAACAUGUUAAUGAAUGGUUGUUAUGCAAAUAGCACACAGGAAAAAUAGCUUCAUUGGAACAUCAAGAUUUGCAAGAUAAAAUAUGACUAAUGCUUAAGGAGAUAGGAGACUACCUAUUUAAAAUAUAUUUUACAAGAGUUUAAUUAUAUUUAAUCGCCUAAAAUUUGAGGUUUUUUUUAUUUUUUUUAUCAUAUAUAUAUCAAACAUCUGUGCUUUUUAAGAUUUUGUGUAAGACGCUUAGGUACAUUAGGUUACAUCAGUAUUUUUUUAUUUAUCAAAUUAUAAAUUAUGAUUAUAAUUUUCAAAAUUAUGAGGAAUCGUGGAUAUGGUAUAAAAAAUGCCAAAUAACUUUCAAGACGGAAGUUGUCCUAUAGAAAGGCCUAACGAAUCUGUAAUUGGAAUUAGAAGAUCUCUUUUAAUUGAUUCUUAAGAGCAUAACAUGAGUUAUUCCGUAUUUUUUGAUUUGAUCAAAUUCGUGGGCGAUCCUAUAAAGAAACACUUGGUGCUAGAACUCAUUUUUAAAGAUAUUUUGGAGGUUGUGGACUCUUUUUUAAGAGACAAUCAUGGUCUUUCAUUUUAAAUAUAUGGUGCAAACAAAAGGAACUAAACAGAUGGAGCACUCAAGUAAUUGAAGGCCCAAUCGGAAUGGAGCCACAAAUCCAACACAACAGACCACAGUGUCUUUCUUCCAAAUCUUCUCUGGUUCUAUUUUUUUCACUAAUCCUAAACCAUAAUUUCUUAAACCUUUAUUGAAAGUCUAAGAAGUCAGGCAAUAUUAUCACCCUCCAUGUCGUUCAUGUUUACUAAUUGAGUGAAGUGAUAGCUUCUAGUAAUCCUUCAUUGAGUUAAUGCUAACUAAUUAAGAUUUCAGGCAUGAAGCAAAGCUUAUUAGGAGAAUUGUUGAAGAGAAUAUUAGGGAAUUGCUUCCCAACACAGAUGAAUUACACGUGGCCAAAUACCCGGUUGGAAUCGACUCUCGUGUUCAACCAAUUAUCAGUGAUCUUUCAAGUGGUGGAUCAGAUGAUGUUAAAAUGGUUGGAAUUUGGGGGAUGGGUGGAUUGGGGAAAACAACCGUUGCCAAAGCCAUUUAUAGCAAAAUUCAUCAUAGCUUCCAAUUCAAAUGCUUCCUUGAAGAUGUUUGCCACCAUGGUACAAGCCAACAUGGUCUGCUCUGUUUGCAACAAAAAUUUAUUUCUGACAUCUUACAACAUGCCAACCCUCAAAUUAUUAGUAGCGUUGAUGCAGGGAUCACUGUUAUAAGACAACACCUCCAACAUAGAAGGGUACUUGUCAUUAUUGACAACGUAGAUAAAGUGGAACAACUAAAUGCAAUAGCUGGAAAUCGUGAAUGGUUUGGUCCAAGAAGUAUACUUAUCAUAACAACACGAGAUGAGCAUAUACUAAAUCAACUUAGAGUGAAAAUGAGAUAUCCAGCUUGGGGAAUGAAUAAAGAGGAAGCUCUUGAGCUUUUCAGUUGGCAUACAUUUGAAAAUAGUUGCCCUGAUGAAGAAUAUCUAGAAUUGUCAAAGAAUGUAGUUUCUUACUGUGGGGGUCUGCCGUUAGCACUCCAAGUUUUAGGCUCUUCUCUUAUUGGCAGACCCAUAAUAGAGUGGGAAAGCCAUCUGGAGAAAUUGAAAAGAAUACCUGAAGGACAAAUUAUAGAAAGACUUAGAAUAAGCUUUGAUGGGCUAGAUGAUACUCAGAAGACUAUAUUCCUUGAUAUAUGUUUCUUUCUUGAAAUCAGCCAGGUUGAUGUGGAGAAGGAUUAUGUCACAAAAAUUUUAGAUGGAUGUGGCUUAUCUCCAAUAAUAGGAAUCAGUGUUCUCUGUGAACGGUGCCUUGUAACUGUUGAACGGGGCAUGCUAAUGGUGCAUGAUUUGAUUCGAGAAAUGUGCAAGAUAAUCAUUUCUGAAAAAUCCCCCACUCAACCUGAAAGAUGGAGUAGACUGUGGGACCUUGAAGCCUUAACAUAUGUGUUGACAAAUAAAUCUGUAAGCAGAUUCCCAACAAAGUUUCAUAUUAAUGCUCGCUAAAUUAUUUCCUAGUGCAUGCAGCUGCCUAUAUCUUAUAAUUAUUGUGUAGAAAUAAUAUUAAAUCGAUUUCCAAUCGAAACUAUAAAUGGUAACAAUUGUUAGUAUGCUGUUUCAUGUUUGUAAGUAAAUCAUUAUUCACACGCAAAUUACCCUUUUUAUUACUCAUCGUAUAUCCUUUUGUUUACUUAACAGGGAACUCAAGAAAUUGAAGGAAUUACUCUAGAUUUGCCAUGCUCUAAAAAGGCUAGUUUCAGCACAAAAGCAUUUGCCAAUAUGAAAAAUCUGAGAUUUCUCCAGCUCAUCAACGUAAAGCUCACUGGAAAGUUCAAACAUUUUCCAAAAGAGUUGAGAUGGUUGCGCUGGCGUGGUUUCCCUUUCAAGUCCAUGCCCAAGCACCUUCUUAAUGAACCAAAACUUGUUGCUCUUCACCUGCCCCACAGCAAACUCACACAACGCUGGAAGAUUUCCAAGGUACAAUCACCCCUACCUAGUUAUAAUUAUUUCUCUCUUUCUGAUUUUAUAUUGUAGGCCAUAUUCUUCUUGGAUUUUAAAUAAUAUUUUCUUUUGGGUUUAUGCAGCGCCUCGAGAAUUUGAAAAUCCUUGAUCUCAGUUAUUCCCAUAAGUUAAAAAAGUCACCAAACUUUUCAAGGCUCCCAAAUUUGGAAGAAUUGAAUUUUCGAGGCUGUUUUAGUUUGUCCAAGAUUCACCCAUCGAUCGGUCAACUUAAAAGACUCACUUUGGUAAAUUUGGAAUUCUGCCGUAAGCUUAGGUCUCUUCCAAGGAAACUUUGUAAGUUGAAAUCUGUUGAGACUCUUCGUCUGUUAGGCUGUUCAUUAAGAAAACUGCCUGACGGCUUAGGGGAGAUGGUAUCAUUGAGAGAACUUGAUGCAUCUCUUUCAGCCAUAAAACAAUUCCCCAACGACCUUGGGAGUCUAAUUUCUUUACAAGAUUUGAGUAUUGGGUUCAAUAGUUGUCGUAGCCUACCUAGCCUCAGUGGUCUUUCAAAUCUCGUAUAUUUGUGGUUAACUUCGUGCGAGAAUCUUCGUGCGAUCCCCGAUUUACCAACAAAUUUGCAAUUCUUGAAAGCAGAUUUAUGCCCUGCAUUGGAAACAAUGACAGACUUUUCGCAAAUGUCAAACAUGAGAGAACUGACUCUAACGCAUUCGGCCAAGUUCACACAUGUUCCAGGUUUAGGCUUCGGUGAAUCAUUAAACUCCAUGACAAUGCUUCGUAUGGAAGGGUGCACCAAUCUCACAGCUGAGUUCAGGAAAAACAUCCUACAGGUCGGUCUCUCUCUGUCUCCUCUUACUCGUCUUUCUCUAUCAGUCACACACACAAACACAAACGAACAUGUACAAGUAUUUGACACUACUAUAUUACAUUGUAUAUAUAUGAUAGGGAUGGACUUCUUGCGAAAAAGGUGGCAUUUUUUUCAAUAAGAUUUAUGAUAUUCCAGAGUGGUUCAAGAUUGUCGCUAAUGGCAAUAAAGUCAGUUUUGAUGUUCCUCAGUGUGAUGAUCGUAAUUUUAAAGGGUUGAUUCUCUGCUCUCUUAACUCGAAAAUCAAGGGGAAUUAUCAUCUUGUCAUUACUGUUGUAAAUUGUACCAAGCAUACUACUUUGAAGGCCUCUAUGGAUGUCUGGGAUAUGCAAGAGGAUUAUUUUUGGCAGGGACAAUUAUCAAACGAUAAGCUCAGUUUGCAAGGCGGGGACAAGAUUGUUAUUCUUUUAGAGGGUAUUGGAGCGAAGAAAAUAGGGGUAAACCUAGUAUGAAACAAAUCUUUGAAGGAAAAUAUGCGUCGUAAUGAGGUUGAUUAUUUGUAUAGAUAUGAAUCCGAACCACAUCCAGAUUGGUAUUAUGAUGAGUCAAGUGCAGGACCAAGCCAUGACGCAUUUGAUAAUCAUCCCACUAAUAAAUUAGGACGUGGCCUCACUUAUUAACUCAGGUUCUCUUUGCAUCACCUCUCAUUGGUGGAAUCCAAAUCUUUAUUUUUUGGAUUUUUAACGAAACACUCCUAGUACAGUUUACUUUUAAUGAAAAUGAUAUUUUUACUCUAAAAAAUCACUCAUGGUACUAUUCACUAACAACAUAUUUUUAUCAUUUUGAUUAAAACUCAAAAUUUUCAAACCAUUAUUAUUUUUUUUUUUUUGCUUCUUUCCUAUUCCUUAAUCUUUAUCAUUUUUAUUGUAAUUAUUUUUCAAAAUAUAAAAAAGUGAAAAUUAUUUUAUUUUAUUUUAUUUUUUAAACAAACGAUAUUAUCUAUAUUGAGGGGAGAUGUGGGCGUAGCUUUCCAAUGAGCUAACAAUAAUAUGGUUUAAAUUCGAUUUUGGCGAGAAUCGAACCUAAGACCUCUUAUUUACAUAUAAAAAAAUAUCAUUAAACCGUAAUACUAAAUAGCUCCAGUGCAAUUAUUUAUGACGUAGACUCUUCCACUGGGGAGACCUUAAGCUGGCACCUCUUCUAAGUGCAAUAAAAGUCACCAACCUAGGUUAUGAGCCUUCUUGAUCAUUGACCCCGUCUAGGUAAGUAUAAAAGAGAAAAUUAUUUUAAUCGGUAAAAGAAAAAGAGAAAAUUAUUUUAAUCGGUAAAAGAAAAAGAGAUAUUUUUAUUAGAUGACAUGUUUUGUUUUUCUUUUCAUUUUGUCAAUUUUUGGUUGGAUAUUAUAUUCACAAUCACAUCACCAAGCAAUAAAAUUACUCAAAGUCUGCAGAGAUCUUCAACAAAUCAGAGCAGACUAAAUAAAUCUUACCCGAUUAAAUAACCAAAAAGUCUUCAAAAGGCCGCGUUCUGUAUGAACCAAAUCUCAACGCCGUAGAAAUUUCAAUGCUAUUCCUCCACAGCACCAUUCUCUCUGCACUGCACCGCCGUAGAAAUUUCACUUCGCUCCUCUGAGCUCGCCGGAGCUCCUUCCUAGAUCUCGGCCUCCGCCGCAACUCCUUCAUCCUCUUCGUUUCGCUUCAAAGAUCCGAGCUUUUCUACAUGUCGGUGAUGUACAAUUCUUCCAUAACUCUACAUUUCAAUCGAUUCAGUUGACGUUUAAUGCAUUAAUUUCAAACGCAAAUAGUAGAUCGGCAUAAUCUUGAAAACCCAUAUCUCAGAUUUCUCUAUGAAGUGUUCACCUCUUCGAUUUCAUUCACUUGCCUCUGUUGGUGUAGCCUUUCACUGUACAUAUAGCUCUUGAAAUUUUGAAGAUCUGUUAGAUUUUUUUGCUCUGAAUUCGAAUUGGGUAUUUUAGUUAGUGACAAUGUCUGCGAUUAGAGUUGAUUCCGCUAAGCCGUAUUUCGCUACGAGCAGUCUUGUGAUUGGGUAUGCUCUCUGUUCUAGCUUGUUAGCUGUGAUAAACAAGUUUGCCAUUACCAAAUUCAACUACCCUGGCCUUUUGACUGCAUUGCAGUACCUUACAUCUGCUUUGGGAGUUUGGGGUUUGGGAAAGUCGGGAUUUUUGCACCACGAUCCCUUCACAUGGCAGACGGCCAAGAAGUUUUUGCCCGCCGCACUUGUGUUUUACCUUGCUAUCUUUACCAACACCAAUCUUCUUCGCCAUGCGAAUGUGGAUACGUUUAUAGUGUUUAGAUCCUGCACGCCCCUUUUGGUUGCGCUGGCGGAUACUGCUUUUAGGAAGCAGCCAAUCCCAUCUAAGCUUACCUUUGUAUCGUUGUUGAUCAUUUUGGGUGGAGCUGUUGGUUAUGUGGCCACUGAUUCGGGUUUUACUUUGACUGCAUAUUCGUGGGCGUUUGCCUAUUUGGUGACCAUUACAACUGAGAUGGUUUAUAUUAAGCAUAUGGUCACGAAUCUCGGGUUGAACACUUGGGGUUUUGUGUUGUACAACAAUCUUUUGUCACUGAUGAUGGCUCCACCAUUUUGGAUUAUUACUGGAGAGUAUUCUGAUGUGUUUGCUGCUUUGGGAUCAAAUGCUGCGAAUUUCUUUGAACCUGGUGCACUUUUCGCGGUCUCAUUAUCUUGUGUGUUUGGAUUGCUCAUCAGUUUCUUUGGGUUUGCAGCAAGGAAGGCAAUCUCUGCUACCGCAUUCACAGUGACUGGUGUUGUGAAUAAGUUUCUUACGGUUGCCAUCAAUGUGCUAAUUUGGGAUAAGCAUGCCAGUCCAUUCGGUUUGCUCUGCCUCCUCUUAACAAUCGUAGGGGGUAUUCUUUAUCAGCAGUCCGUAACUGGAGUAAGCAUUGCUCCAUCACAGCGUGAAACAACGGUGUCUAAACAACCUCUCGGUGAGAGUGAUGGUGAUGAAUUUUCCGAAGAAAAUCAAGGGAAGGCAGUUUCCGGUAAACUUGCUUCUAAAUGAGAAUUCCGUUCUUACUUUGCCAUUUUGUAGCUGCUGGUGAAGGCAUGUUUGAAAUUUUAAUUUUGGCUUUAGUAAAUUAGGAAAUUUCUGUAUUUGAUCUCGACAAUUAAUAAUUAUGUUAUUAGACUACGAUAUCUGAGAGCACUUCAGUUCACCUUUACACCAGUGAUUAAUGACAAUGCCAUAGUUUUUAUCUCGGAAUUAUGUCGUGUCUAAUUCAUUUCUGUUGACAAUGAAUUUUGUUUGCUUGGUAAAGUUAACAAGUCAAAUCUUCAUUUUCGAUUUACCCGAGUGCUAUACAAUCUUCGUUUUUUAUCUGCAUUUUUUCUUUCUUUUGUGAAGAUGCUUGAGAAGGUGUAUGCACAGACAGUGGUAUCAUGUCUACGACACAUCCACUUUAUGAAGUUGUCUUUCUAAUAGUUUAUUGAUCCGCUAUCUGUGGAGAAUCAUGCUUUGUUAAAAUAGACACCAAAGCUUUAUGAUUUCGUACGUUUGAGUGAACAAGAAUAUUGAAGUUUCUUAAUAUAUUCAAAUCUUCAUCACCAGAAAUCAUUACAACAACAAGAUCCGUCCCUAAACCGUUGACAGCGGUUUCUGUCCCGCACGAUUAUUUCUCUAUCGUAAACUUUUGAGAUGAGCUUGGUUGCAGUGUGGCAAUCACUGUGUACUCUGAGGUUUCACUACUCGUAUUGUUGUCCUCGGUUUUGUGCUUAUGAGCACAAAUGCGAUUGCCGGCUUUUGUGGAGGCUGAGUUCUAAAAGCUGUUGAGCAACUCUUUCUGCAGCCUCAAGUUCGCCAUGGAUUCUGCAGGAACCAAGAAGCCCUCCCAAAACAAAACGGUCCGGUGGAAUUUGCAUCUUCCGAGUCAACUCCUCUGCUUCGGCAAUUCAAUCAGCUCGCCCUAAUAUGUCAACCAUACCACCAUAGUGCUCAAUGGUAGGCUGAACUUCAGAAAUUGACUUAAAAUGCGAAAUCCCUUCGUCUACUAAUCCAGCAUGACUACAAGCAGCCAAUAUCCCAACAAAGGUUAUCGCAUGUGGUUUCACCCCGCUCUUCUGCACCUCAUGGAAAUGCUCCAAAGCCUUCUUCCCUUGUCCACACACCGCAGAACCGAAAUCAACGCUGUCCAAGUCAUAACAUCCUUCUUGGGUAGCUUUCGGAAAAUUUCCCAUGCAUUGUCUAUGCUUCCACAUUGUGCAUACAUGUCAACAAAAGUCGUCCCGAAGGCAACGUCCACCUUAAUGUUCUCCUUUUCCAUAUAGGCAUGCAACCACUUACCAAGCUCUAGAGCACCAAAAUGGCUGCAAGCAAGCAAUAAACUUACCAUCGUUACCUCAUCCUCUUUUUCUCCUUUGAGCUGCAUUUUAUGAAAGAGUACAAACGCUUCAUAGUAGUUACUAUCCUCAACAUGUCCAUUGAUCAUGAUGUUCCAACUGAACAAGUUCUUCUCCAGCAUCUUGUCAAACAAUCUCGAGCAAGCAAUACACAUCCACACUUACAGUCAACAUCCAAGAGAGCCGUAUUGAGCUUCAAAUGGUUCCCGAAACCAUACUAAUCAAUGUACCGGUGCACCCUUUUCGCCAUGUCUAAAUCCCUCGCCCUCGCACACGCAGUCAAAACAUUAACCAAAGUGACCUCAUUAAGAUCCACAUUUUCACGUUCCAUCCUACCAAACAAUUUCAAAGCUUCAACUGGUCGAUCCCAUUUAGCAUACGCAUCAAUCAUGGUUGCCCAAGAAUCCACACUCUUCUCAGUCAUUUUGUCGAACACCUUCUGAGCGGAGACAAAACACCCGCAGUUCGCAUUCAUGUUCAUCAAAGUGUUCUAAAUGUAUGAAUCCGAAGCGAAACCGAACUUCGUCGAGCGGCAAUGCAGCUGUUUUCCCUCCCGCAAAUCCCCGCACGACUUGAACAGAUAAGGGAAUGUGAAUCUGUUAGGCAACCAACCUUCCAAAAUCAUUUCGUGGUAGAAAAAAACGUCGUCCCGUUGAAAAUCCUCAGCCACGGAUAACCGAGUUACGAGUGGUGGGAAUGGGAAUUUGGGUUAGGACUAAACGGGCAUAACGGAGGCUUCCAGAGCCGAAAAGGUGACAACUUUGGCGGCGGUGAAGGCGUCGAAAAAGAGCCCUGUUCAGAGGGGUUGAGCGUGGAUUUGCUUGAGCUCGGACACGGCGGAGCAUUUGUCUAGUAAUGCGAGACAAGGGUGUGGUUCAAUUGGGUUUUUGGUGACGGUCGUGGCGGCGAUGGCUGUGGCUUUGGUGGAUUUGGUGUAUCAGAGUAGGAUUUCGGAAUUGAAAGGGGGUCUAAUGUGGUGGAGGGAAAGAAGCCACCAUUGUUGCUGGCUGCUAUGUGACUGAUGCUACUUUUUGAAAAACAAAUUGUGGUGACGGAUGAUCCGGGUAUCUUAUGCUCAGCAGUACUGGUGAUAAUGUUCAUCCCUUUGCCUCGAAACCCAGCAGGCUUUUGGAGCAUAAUUUGGGCUACUCUAAAAGGUCUAGUCCCUAACUCUCAAGGUGAAAGGGGUUGAUGGAACACGACUUCAACUACACAAACUUAUCUACACCAAAAAUGUUGUUGUGACAGCAUUUCAAGACCGUCACACAUUGUCACGCGUUUUAAGUUCUUAUGGUUUCUCAUCUGCUCCACUGGCCUAACCCUUUGCCGAACCAUAAUCUAUAUAUUGUACUGCCAUAUCCAUCAUUCAAUACACUGUGGAAGGUGGUGUUGCAGUUGCUACAUACCGAUUACACUGAAACAGUUUCAGUAUUAUAGCAUUGCUGAGCUCUCAGUCUGCAGAAAAUGGUAAGGUUGGUUGGUCCUGCUCGGCUGGAUUGAAUGCUGAGGUAAGUAAGUAAAUAUUUGAGCCAAAAAUCUAAGUGAUGUGCUUGUUGUGCCGAUGUUCACAUGUAUCUGUUGGACCAAUUUGGUUCGAAAAAGGGGUGGUGUCAAGUGUGUCUUUCAAUUAUCAAUUUUUAUAUACAUUGCUUAGAUAAUCACAGAUUCAGAACUCAGAAUUUUUUUUAAUAGUACCGGUUCAAAGUGGAUUCCAAAAUUUAGAAGUGUUUUAGAUAAUCACAGAUUCAGAAGUGUCUUAGUUGUUAAUAUAAUAAUGUAUUCAAAGUGGAUUAUAUUAUUGGUAAGUAUAAUUUUUGAGAUGGGAUGGGAAUAUAAGAAAGAGAGAAUAAAUUUGUAGACAAAAUUUUGUAAAUUAAAUAACAUGAAAGUUGAUGAUUGGAUUAUUAUUAGUGUUGAUUAACAAGCUUAUUUUUUAUUGAUGACACAUCACUUAAUUUACAAAUUUGAUACAUUACUCAUAUAAGAAGAAUAGCAAGAUAUUGAGGUUUCCGAAACAGGCAUUUGUUAAAGGCCACUUCUUAGUUUAUAAAUGAUAUAUCAAUGAUCAUAUGAAUAAUAUACCGACAAUGAAGAAAAAGAGUAAGCUUCUUAAAUUUGGGGGCCAAAAUUUAAAAUGCAGCUGUCCUUUGCUCUAAGGAUAUUCUAGCUAUAUAUAUAUAUAUCAAUGUAAUCUUAUUGACUAAAUAACAAUCACAAUUAUAUUUUUACUUCUCUCUCUACAUCUCUCUCUCUCUCUCUCUCUCUCUCUCUCUCUCUCUCUCUCUCUCUCUCUCUCUCUCUCUCUCUCUCUCUCUCUCUCUCUAGUUUCUAUCACUUUCACCAUAUGUUAUAGAUAAAGAGGGGUGGGGAAUUCCAAGGCCUAAAGCUUCAUUGAUAUAGAGGAUUGGAUUAGAAUAGAUAAGUAAUUAUAAGGUAUGUUGAAAGAAAAAAAAUGAAAAAUUUAUAACAAUUUUGAGGUUGGAGAUGGAUUACUAGAAGGAUUAGAAGGGAGAAGUUUACUUCAUGUCUAAUCCUACCCUUUUGAAAAGGAUUAGAACUGAUAAGUUUCUUUCAUAAAUAAUUCAUCUCCUACUCUCUAGUUUGUCAUAUCCAUUUGAAUCCAAUCUUACGUAGCAAACGAACUCUUAAGUUUGGCUUUAACUCCACCCUGUUGGACAAGACAAUUACGGUGUUAAUAAUUAAUGUUAAUGUCAAUUUAGCGAAGUUGAGAAAUGCGAUAUAUCUCUACUAAUUAAUAAAACACUCAUCAUCAACCAAAAUUCUAUGAAAUUACCAAUUUAACCUUCUAAUUAAAACAGAACAUGAAUAAGAAAUAUGGAGCAGAAAUGUAAUUUCACACAAUCAAAUUUUGCUAUUUUUUUU